rnacentral:rRNA from 1 species
GGACGACGCUGGCGGCGUGCCUAACACAUGCAAGUCGAGCGAAUGAAGUUCCUUCGGGAACGGAUUUAGCGGCGGACGGGUGAGUAACACGUGGGCAACCUACCUCAUAGAGGGGAAUAGCCUUCCGAAAGGGAGAUUAAUACCGCAUAAGAUUGUAGUACCGCAUGGUACAGCAAUUAAAGGAGCAAUCCGCUAUGAGAUGGGCCCGCGGCGCAUUAGCUAGUUGGUGAGGUAACGGCUCACCAAGGCGACGAUGCGUAGCCGACCUGAGAGGGUGAUCGGCCACAUUGGGACUGAGACACGGCCCAGACUCCUACGGGAGGCAGCAGUGGGGAAUAUUGCACAAUGGGGAAACCCUGAUGCAGCAACGCCGCGUGAGUGAUGACGGCCUUCGGGUUGUAAAGCUCUGUCUUCAGGGACGAUAAUGACGGUACCUGAGGAGGAAGCCACGGCUAACUACGUG